rnacentral:tRNA from 1 species
GCCUCUGUAGCUCAGUGGAUAGAGCACCGCUCUCCUAAAGCGGGUGUCGGAGGUUCGAUUCCUCUCAGGGGCGCCG